rnacentral:rRNA from 1 species
CCUACGGGGGGCUGCAGUGAGGAAUAUUGGUCAAUGGACGCAAGUCUGAACCAGCCAAGUAGCGUGCAGGAUGACUGCCCUAUGGGUUGUAAACUUCUUUUAUACGGGGAUAAACCGAGUCACGUGUGCCUUAUUGCAUGUACUUUAUGAAUAAGGAUCGGCUAACUCCGUGCCAGCAGCCGCGGUAAUACGGAGGGUCCGGGCGUUAUCCGGAUUUAUUGGGUUUAAAGGGAGCGUAGGUGGCUUCUUAAGUGUGUUGUGAAAGGUCGCGGCUCAACCGUAAAACUGCAAUUGAUACUGGCAGUCUUGAGUACAGUUGAGGUAGGCGGAAUUCGUGGUGUAGCGGUGAAAUGCUUAGAUAUCACGAAGAACCCCGAUUGCGAAGGCAGCCUACCAAACUGUUACUGACAUUGAGGCUCGAAGGUGUGGGUAUCAAACAGGAUUAGAUACCCCUGUAGUC